UGGGGAAUUUUGGACAAUGGGCGAAAGCCUGAUCCAGCAAUGCCGCGUGUGUGAAGAAGGCCUUCGGGUUGUAAAGCACUUUUGUCCGGAAAGAAAUCCUUGGCUCUAAUACAGUCGGGGGAUGACGGUACCGGAAGAAUAAGCACCGGCUAACUACGUGCCAGCAGCCGCGGUAAUACGUAGGGUGCAAGCGUUAAUCGGAAUUACUGGGCGUAAAGCGUGCGCAGGCGGUUUGCUAAGACCGAUGUGAAAUCCCCGGGCUCAACCUGGGAACUGCAUUGGUGACUGGCAGGCUAGAGUAUGGCAGAGGGGGGUAGAAUUCCACGUGUAGCAGUGAAAUGCGUAGAGAUGUGGAGGAAUACCGAUGGCGAAGGCAGCCCCCUGGGCCAAUACUGACGCUCAUGCACGAAAGCGUGGGGAGCAAACAGGAUUAGAUACCCUGGUAGUCCACGCCCUAAAACGAUGUCAACUAGUUGUUGGGGAUUCAUUUCCUUAGUAGCGCAGCUAACGCGUGAAGUUGACCGCCUGGGGAGUACGGUCGCAAGAUUAAAACUUAAAGGAAUUGACGGGGUCAUAGCUGUUUCCU
rnacentral:rRNA from 1 species